rnacentral:lncRNA from 12 species
AUGGUGGCCGGGCAGGGACCUGCUAAGAGGUGGUGUCACCACGUCCUCACCACCUGUAACUUGUCUGUGUCUUGUUCUAGAUCGAUGCCCCUUGACACCUGGAGCCCUGGGCUCGGCAGCGAGGCCCACUCUGGAGUUGGCCCCAGCCGGCCCCAGGGUGGGCCUGUGUGGGGGCCGCGGGCCUGCCCAGGGGGCCUGGGGCCAGCUGCCAGCACGCUGCAUGGCCAGCGCGCCCCCCGGGCCUGGUGGGCUCACCUGUGGAGUCGGCAGAGGAGCCACGAGGGAGGCGCCCUAUGGAAUCCGAUGCCUGUGCCACGUAUGACAGCUCCGAGGCUGGAGAGGCCUGCCCGGGCGUCGGUGUCUGCGCCCCAGCAGACGUGCCCACGCGCCUCUGCCGCAGCCAGGCCUGCUGUUCAGGUUCGGCGGCUACCAGGUGACGGCAGACCCACGUCAGGACGGGGGCAGCUGCGGAGCCGGACUAGGUGUCGGCGUGAGACUUGCAAGCUUAGCUACGGGCUGCGUCCUCUGCCGGCAGCUGGUGGAGGCCUCUCAGGGCCCCGAUGGGCAGGGGGGACGCGUGCGCUCCAGCCUCCUGGCGACGGGGCCUGCGUCCACCGGGAUCCCAUAGGAUCGCCGCCUGUGGGCCCAGAAGAGCACGCCGCCGUCCCUGGAGAAGGGAACCGAGUCGCUCCGACCCGUGUGAUACCCCGAAAUCCAAGGACAGAGCUGGGCCGCAAUGUUCUUGGAACGACGUCGCCCACGUUCCCCUCUGAGUGUGAGGGAGACGGCCCGUCCGCUCACUAUGCGCAGCGGGUGGCCGUGGCCGUGGGGCGCUGUCCAGGCCACAGAGGCUCCCGUCGGCCCAGCCGCUCGUGGCUCCUGAGGACGGAAGCAGGCACCCCAGGGGCUCGGGAGCGGCCGGAGGCGGAUGUGGGCCAGAGGUCUUCCCCUCCCGCGCCCGGCGGUGGUCGGGGAUCGCUCCCGCUGCCCCUGCGCAGGCCUGGCGCUUGCUGA